GGGAACCCUCGUCCAAGAGCAAUGGUUCUCAUAUGCGAGAAUGUCUGAGAAUCACCUGGAGGGCUUGUUAAAACACAAAUUGUUGGGCUCCAACCCCAGAGUUUCUGAUUCAGUAGAUCUGGGUUGGGGCCCAAAUAUUUGAAGCUUUAAUAAAUUCUCCAGAGACGCUGAUGCUGCCAGUGGAGGGACCACAUUUUGAGAACCACUGCCCUAGAGGAAGUUGCUGUGUUCCAGGCGUGGUACUAAAGUGCUCAUCUGAUUAUUGUCACUGUAUUUCAGCUCUAAAACAGGCUUAGAGAAGGUUAACAAAUGAAAGAAUAGACGUGGAGCGUCUGACUGCUCAGUCAGAAGAAU
rnacentral:lncRNA from 1 species